rnacentral:rRNA from 1 species
AUUGAACGCUGGCGGGAUGCUUUACACAUGCAAGUCGAACGGCAGCACGGGUGCCUGCACCUGGUGGCGAGUGGCGAACGGGUGAGUAAUACAUCGGAACGUACCCAGUCGUGGGGGAUAACGUAGCGAAAGUUACGCUAAUACCGCAUACGUCCUGAGGGAGAAAGCGGGGGACCGUAAGGCCUCGCGCGAUUGGAGCGGCCGAUGGCGGAUUAGCUAGUUGGUGGGGUAAAGGCCUACCAAGGCGACGAUCCGUAGCGGGUCUGAGAGGACGGCCCGCCACACUGGAACUGAAACACGGUCCAGACUCCUACGUGAGGCAGCAGUGGGGAAUUUUGGACAAUGGGCGAAAGCCUGAUCCAGCCAUUCCGCGUGAGUGAAGAAGGCCUUCGGGUUGUAAAGCUCUUUCGGCAGGGAAGAAACGGCUUGGGAUAAUACCCCGGGCUAAUGACGGUACCUGAAGAAGAAGCACCGGCUAACUACGUGCCAGCCGCCGCCGUAA